UACGUAGGGAGCGAGCGUUAUCCGGAAUCAUUGGGCGUAAAGAGCUCGUAGGCGGUUCAGCAAGUCGGCUGUGAAAGUCCGAGGCUCAACCUCGGAAUUGCAGUCGAUACUGUUGUGACUCGAGUCCGGUAGAGGAGAAUGGAAUUCCCGGUGUAGCGGUGGAAUGCGCAGAUAUCGGGAGGAACACCAGUAGCGAAGGCGGUUCUCUGGGCCGGCACUGACGCUGAGGAGCGAAAGCGUGGGGAGCGAACAGG
rnacentral:rRNA from 1 species